AGAAACUUAGGUUAACCCAUAAAACCAUGGACCUUCAAAGCCCAAAACAGUGGUUAAACUCCACUAGAUUCUG
rnacentral:tRNA from 1 species